CUGUGUUUAGCUUAGUUUGGUAGAGCACUCCGUUUGGGACGGAGAGGUCGUAGGUUCAACUCCUACAACACAGACCA
rnacentral:tRNA from 1 species